rnacentral:lncRNA from 1 species
AAUUUUAUAGUUUCAUAUUUCACUUGCAACUAUAUUUCCUAAAUAUCAGUUUCACAAUCAGGAGUAAGCAGCUUCACGAACAUAACCAAUUUCACACAUUGGAACAAUCUAUUUCAUAAAAUUGGUUUCAUUGAAUUCAAAAGACCUAUUUCAGUUAAUUGAAAUAACUCAUUUCAUAAAACUAAUUUCACUCAUUACAAAAUAUAUCUCAAAAACUAAUUCCACUUUGUAUUUAUGAAAUAUAUUCAAAUGUAUUUCAAUCAACUCAAAAGUUAGUUUCAAACGUUUGAAAAAAAAUUAACUUGAAAUAAGUGACAUUUAAAUGAAAUAAAAAAAAAUUCACUCGCUUCAUAAAAUACAUUUCGCUCAUUUAUAAAAAAAAUGAAAUAAUCGCAUGUUUUAAAAUAACUAGUUUCACAUUUUUCUAAAUUACAAGUUAAACAUAUUUCACAAUGAAAUUUGUUUCAUAUGCAUAUUUCACUCAUCUUUUUUAGUUGAUUUAAAAUAACAAUUCACUCAUUUAAAAAAUAUGAAUUCACUCAUUUGAAAAGACAUAUUUCACACAUCAAAUAAACAUAUUUCAUCCGUUUUAAAAACAAGAUUCCAUUCAUUUCAAAAACUGACUCACUCAUUUUAUAUUACAGAUUUUCACUGCUUUAAAAUAAUGCAUGCAUAUUUAAAUUCUAUAGUUUCAUAUUUCACUUGCAAUUAUAUUUCCUAAAUAUCAGUUUCACAAUCAGGAGUAAGCAGCUUCACGAACAUAAUCAAUUUCACACAUUGGAACAAUCUAUUUCUUAAAAUUGGUUUCAUUCAAUUCAGAAGACCUAUUUCAGUUAAUUGAAAUAACUCAUUUUGUAAAACUGAUUUCACUCAUUACAAAAUAUAUCUCAAAAACUAAUUCCACUUUGUAUUUAUGAAAUAUAUUCAAAUGUAUUUCAAUCAACUCAAAAGUUAGUUUCAAACGUUUGAAAUAUAAAUUUUAACUUGAAAUAAGUGACAUUUAAAUGAAAUGAAAAACAAUUUCACUCGCUUCAUAAAAUAGAUCGCUCAUUUAUAAAAAAUUGAAAUAAUCGCAUGUUUUAAAAUAACUAGUUUCACAUUUUUCUAAAUUACAAGUUAAACAUAUUUCACAAUGAAGUUUGUUUCAUAUGCAUAUUUCACUCAUCUUUUUUAGUUGAUUCAAAAUAACAAUUCACUCAUU